UGGGGAAUAUUGGACAAUGGGGGGAACCCUGAUCCAGCCAUGCCGCGUGUGUGAAGAAGGUCUUAUGGUUGUAAAGCACUUUAAGCGAGGAGGAGGGUACUGGUAUUAAUACUACCAGCUACUGGACGUUACUCGCAGAAUAAGCACCGGCUAACUCUGUGCCAGCAGCCGCGGUAAUACAGAGGGUGCGAGCGUUAAUCGGAUUUACUGGGCGUAAAGCGUGCGUAGGCGGCUAAUUGAGUCGGAUGUGAAAUCCCCGAGCUUAACUUGGGAAUUGCAUUCGAUACUGGUUAGCUAGAGUGUGGGAGAGGAUGGUAGAAUUCCAGGUGUAGCGGUGGAAUGCGUAGAGAUCUGGAGGAAUACCGAUGGCGGAGGCAGCCAUCUGGCCUAACACUGACGCUGAGGUACGAAAGAAUGGGGAGCAAACAGG
rnacentral:rRNA from 1 species